AGAGAGAGACAUGCGCGCAUAUCAAUAAGCGGAGGAAAAGAAACUAACAAGGAUUCCCUUAGUAACGGCGAGUGAAGCGGGAAGAGCUCAAAUUUGAAAUCUUCAAGGUUUUACCUUGACGAAUUGUAGUUUAAAGAAGUGUUUUCUGCUGAAGUUUUGGUAAAAGUUCUUUGGAAUAGGACAUCAUAGAGGGUGAGAAUCCCGUAUUUGACCAUUAUUUUCAGCUUUGUGAUACACUUUCAAAGAGUCGGAUUGUUUGGGAAUGCAGUCCAAAAUGGGUGGUAAAUUUCAUCUAAAGCUAAAUAUUGGCGAGAGACCGAUAGCGAACAAGUACCGUGAGGGAAAGAUGAAAAGAACUUUGAAAAGAGAGUUAAACAGUACGUGAAAUUGUCAAAAGGGAAGCGUUUGACACCAGUGUUGUUUUCUCGAAAAUCAAUUAAAAAUGGCUCGAUUUUGUAUUGCUUGAGACCUUAAAAGCUCACUGUACAUUUUUCGUGUCUUUUUUAAUGCACUUUUCGUUUAACAAGUCAACAUCAGUUUCUUUUGUUGUAAAAGGGUCAUUGGAAGGUGGCUUUCUUUUCGGAGAAAGUGUUUAUAGCCUUUGGCCUCUGCAAUCGGAGAGACUGAGGUCUGCAGCGUAGACUCUUCGGGGUUAGAUACAUUUGUGCUAAGUUAUAGCUUUUUAUAGACAACUUAUUGACUAUAAUUAGUCUUGUAGCUUACUCGCUUAUGCUAUUUUACCUACGCUUAGGAUGUUGAGUCGUAGAGCACGCA
rnacentral:rRNA from 1 species